UUGUAAUUUAUGAGUGUCAUAAAGGAGCUAUAUAAGCCUGGAGAACCAACAGGUUCACUGCUCCCUGGGGGGACACUGUGAGGGUGUGUGCAUUUAGGGCACUAUUUCACUAUUUGAAAUUAUACAGUGUGUUGCUGUUCAAUGGAGCCUACAUCAAAACUGGCAGAAACAAUAAGGAAUGGGAGUUUGACAGCAAUGUCAUGUUGAGUUAAUGUAAAUGUGUGUAACAUUAUAGUUAUAACUAUAGUCCUUGAAUGUUUCCUAAUAUUCCUCCUUUCCCUGGUCUUUCUCAGAUGAAGCUGCCGGUCUUGGUGGUUGUCUCACUGCUGCCUGUGCCCAGGCUGCAGACCCCCCUGCACGCAGCCUCCGGGACAUACUGUAGUGAGGAAGAGCUCCCUGAGACGGAAGGUGUCCCUCUUGAACCCAGUACUGGAAGGUAGGGUCCCCCCCACUGAACAGUAUAGGUCCAGUCCAGGCCCCACUGACCCCUCCUGAGUUUGAGGACGAACAGAAGCCUGCUACAUUCAUGUUCGGGGACAAUGUCAGGGGGUGGCAGGUAGCCUAGUGGUUAGAGUGUUGGACCAAAGACUCAGUCGGAACGUGCCCCGGAGUGGGCAUCUACAUGGAGAAGAACAAGUAUGGCUUGGGGAGGUGGUCCCUCAGUUCGAGGCCUUCUUCCUGCCCUGGGAGGGCGAUGAGUGCUGGUACAAGAGCUACCAGGUCCUGACCAUCAACAGGGACGCCUACAGCCAGCACAUCUCCUACGUCAAGUACGGCAUCGAUGAGGUGGAAAUAUUCCACUACCCCAGUCAAAUACUGUAUGGAAAAUGAUAUUACCAUGUACUAUUUUUCUUUUCAGCACUUCAAAAAGAACAGUUUUGAAAUGUGUAUGUUGUGUUUUUUGCUAUUGGAUAAAAUGGUGAAUGAAUUCAUGUUUUUUUUGCACAAUCAAAGAUUCUGAACAUAAGAUAGGGGGCAUUUGUUUUCAGUUUAGAAUUUUGUAGUCAGAGUUAUGAAAAUAUACCACAUCUGAAAAAUGUACCAAAGAAAAAACUUUAUUUGUGGUCUCAUAACAUCUCAUAACAUCGCCUCCAUUGCCAUUACUAUAAUAGAAAAUAGGGGCGCCAACGCAAAGCAACGGCUUUACAGAGAGAAGGAGUAGACCUGUGUGGUGUGUGUGUGUGUGUGUGUGUGUUGUGGGUGGUGUGUGGGUGUGUGGGUUGUGUGUGUGUGUGUGUGUGUGUGUGUGUGUGCUUGGAAGUGUGUGUGUGUGUGUGUGAGAGUGUGUGUGUGUGUGUUGUGCGUGCUUGGAAGUGUGGUGUGUGUGUGGGAGUGUGUGUGUGUGUGUGUGCGUACGUGCGUGCGUGCUUGGAUGUGUGCGUGUGUGCGUGUGUGUGUGCAUGUGUGUAUAUG
rnacentral:lncRNA from 1 species